GACGAACGCUGGCGGCGUGCUUAACACAUGCAAGUCGAACGGAAAGGCCCUGCUUUUGUGGGGUGCUCGAGUGGCGAACGGGUGAGUAACACGUGAGUAACCUGCCCUUGACUUUGGGAUCACUUCAGGAAACUGGGGCUAAUACCGGAUAGGAGCUCCUGCUGCAUGGUGGGGGUUGGAAAGUUUCGGCGGUUGGGGAUGGACUCGCGGCUUAUCAGCUCGUUGGUGGGGUAGUGGCUUACCAAGGCUUUGACGGGUAGCCGGCCUGAGAGGGUGACCGGCCACAUUGGGACUGAGAUACGGCCCAGACUCCUACGGGAGGCAGCAGUGGGGAAUAUUGCACAAUGGGCGGAAGCCUGAUGCAGCAACGCCGCGUGCGGGAUGACGGCCUUCGGGUUGUAAACCGCUUUCGCCUGUGACGAAGCGUGAGUGACGGUAAUGGGUAAAGAAGCACCGGCUAACUACGUG
rnacentral:rRNA from 1 species